UGGUGUCGGAAUUCUUCACGACACACCAGCAUAAAAUUCUUUCGGAUCCCGGCAGACGAAAGAUCUCGCGCUUGGCUUCAGUAUGCGAGACGGCAGGACCUGGCUCAUUUACCACCUCGUCAGAUCUACAGCAGCUACCGCCUGUGCUCUGCCCAUUUCACCAGCAGAGACUACGCAGACCCUGGACAGACAAGGCUGCUAAGAUGUGCUGUGCCAACAGUUUCCAUCUUUGGGGAUGGGCAGACACACGUCGAAAGUCCAGGCUCUCCUCGGCCCGCGAAUACCACUGCAAUGCC